UACGUAGGGCGCAAGCGUUGUCCGGAAUUAUUGGGCGUAAAGAGCUCGUAGGCGGUUUGUCGCGUCUGCUGUGAAAUCCCGAGGCUCAACCUCGGGCUUGCAGUGGGUACGGGCAGACUAGAGUGCGGUAGGGGAGACUGGAAUUCCUGGUGUAGCGGUGGAAUGCGCAGAUAUCAGGAGGAACACCGAUGGCGAAGGCAGGUCUCUGGGCCGUAACUGACGCUGGAGGAGCGAAAGCAUGGGAGCGAACAGG
rnacentral:rRNA from 1 species